UUUCUCUCUAGAAACCCUUUUUCCCUAAAUUCUCUCUGCCUUCUCUCUAGAUUUCCAGCUAAUUGAACCGUUCAAUCUUGGAUUUGAAGGUGCUCAAGCGUUCACCACACCGAAAGCUUUCUUUUGAUCCGAUUAUAUUUUCGAUUGGAUCAGUAAGUAAUUUUCUCCUCUUCUCCGCUGUUUCGCAACUUAGGGAAUGCCUUUUUCGGGUAGCAGACAACUAGGAGCGUUCUUCUUUUUAUUCUUGUUUAAAGCUUAGCUCUAAGAGCUUAUUCCUCCACUAUUUCGGUGAUAUAUAGGUACUGUAAAUUCCUGUGUUGCAUAAAGUUGUUGUGAGAGCGUCUCUUGUGAACUGUACUGUGAGAAACCAAGGUAAGGGGAGCUACUUAUACUUUUAUUUUAUUUGUUGCGAAGUGACUGUUUGAGAAAUCUGAAUUACNAUGUGAAUUUAAACUGUAUUUUGGUUCUACACAUCCCGUUUGGUAAGAACUGAUGAAUCUGUUUUGAGUGAUUAUGCAUGUUGAAUUAAAUAUGUGAUAUAUUGUGAGCAUGUGUUGUUACUGUCCUUAAGUGUUUAACUUAGUAUGCGCUGAAUUUGACUGAAAUGAUGAUCCUGGGAAUGAUUCCUGUUUAUAUAUUGAUUGUGAUAUGCUCCGAAGGAAUUUGAUGAAUCUGGUUGCUGGAAUAAGUCGGGGGUAAUACUGAUUUGAUGGGAAAAAUGGGUUGAGUGUAGCCUCAGGUUCUGUGAGAGGGGAUGUAUAACUUUGGGAAUCAGGGAACUAAAAAUAAUAGGCUAGUUAUAUAACCAGCAAGGAAAUUGGGUUGUGUUGGGUUGGGAAAAGAGGGAGCAUUGUAAGCUAUUUGGAUGGUGAUUUUGUGCAUUUGGGGUAAUAAGUGCAUUUGGUCUGUUCUGGCAGUUUAGACAAGUCAGUUGUGACUUGUUAAACAAAUAAAAUUGAACAAAAACACAUUAAAAAUGACAGAAUUGAGUUAGAGUCCAUAAGUCAUAGGAUGCGAUGUUUUGAAGUUAAAUUCAAGCCUAAACAACUCUAAAAGCACUAUAUUAACAUAAUACGAAACGUAUGAUACAUAUAUAUAUAUAUAUACAUAUAUAUAUAUAUAUAUAUAUAUAUAUUAAUAUAAUAUGGAAAUAUAAGUUAGGAAAGAAUGAUAUAUAUUAUAUUAAUAUAAUAGGGAUAUAUAUAAGAUGCAGGAAAGUCCUUAUGAUAUAAAUUGUUAUCAUAAUAUUUAUAUAUAAAAGAAAGUAUGAAAUAUGUUAUAUUAAUAUAUUACAUAUAAGAGAUGCAAGANAGUAAAUAUGAUAAUAAAUUAUAUUAAAAUAAUAUUGUUUCAUAGAAAAUUAGUAAUAAAGAUUAGGUAUGAUAUCAAAUUUUACCAGUUGGAAAUGUAUUAUUUUACAAGAAAUUUUAGAGUUUUNUAGAGUGAUUGAGAUAUGACAGUAUUGUAUAUUUGAGGUGAUUGGAAGUGGUUGUGGAACAUGUUCUAGUACAUAUGACUUUAUCUUUAAAGCUUAAACAUGUGGUUUAAUUGUAAAAAUCUCUCGGUGAGAUCCUUAGUGUUUUAAAAUGAAAGUAGGAGCUCAGUUUUGGGGGUCAUCCUGACGCUCCAAUGGCCAAUCAUGUCACUUAGAGAGAUCGGACCAUGUGGUGAGGAGUAGCAGGAGGUCUUUAGUCUUGGGGGCUUCCAGUAUGCCUCAAGGCCCGGAACGGACUAACCUCGUGAGUGUGGCAGGGUGGGGAACCCAAGUUUCAUAAAUCACCAUGAGUGCAAGACCCGCCAUAGCUCGACUUUCGUUUUAAAGUCCGGACAAGUCAAGUCUAGAAAUUAAAAUGCUUAGGUUGUGUUUCUGAAAUUGUUGGAUAUAAGUUAUUUCUUGUAUGUUACAUGCUUAAUCUGAUGCAUGAUUUUAUAUAAUUAGCUCACCCUUGCAAUUGUUUGCUUGCUUGUGUUGUGCCAUGUUGCGUGUGCUGCCCUGUUGCGAUGAUCAUCCAUUCUGGAUGUGAGCAGAGGAGAAUGAGGUGUCAGUGGGGGAUGUCUUGGAGGAAAAUGGAGAUGUUGCUGCCUAGUUCUUUAGGCUUUAAUUAUCUUAUCCUAGGAUAUUUUGAAGAUACUUUGUCAUGUUCUAAGUUUUAAAUUCUUUGUAAUUUAAAGGAGAAACUCUAGUACUCCAAGUUUCCAAAUUGUACUGUUUAAGGAUGACUGUAAUCCUAUUACUCUUAACUGCUUUCUAGUAUUAUUCAUACUGACGCCUUUAUUGUAUUAUAUAUUUUUAUAAUAUAAUUGGGAUGUCACAAAAAAUAAAUCUCAACAAUAUUAAACUAGAUAAUUCUAAGAUACAUAUUUUAUAAUUUGUUAUUUUCCUAAUAUUACUUUUUUUUUUUAAUCUUUUAUAUGGUUGCUAAAGUACUUAUAUAUCUAUAAUAUCAUUUCUUUUUUAUAUAAAGAUAAUUAUAAUAGUCAUCACACAAAAUAUAAAAACAAAAUAAAAAAAAUUUAAGUAUAAACUAACAUAAAUUAUAUAAAUCAAAAUUCACAAUUUUCACAAACACUAUAUGAAAUAAACCCGGUAUACAAUCACUAAACUUCAUUUUCACAACAAACAAUUACAUUAAAACAUUCAUUAUUAAAUCUAAGGACGAAAAGAUAAUAACACCUUUCAGAACGCUUGUAUUGAGUAAGUCACACUGGAGACUAAGACUCAACUUAUAUUAAAGUCUACUAUGACACAGUAGUUUAAUGUAAUAGAGGUAGUUUAUUAUAUUUUUUCAACAAGGCUUAAUAUCACAACCUCAUUUACAUUAUCACCACUUUUUAUCUUUAUAUGAUUUAGAUUAUCAGUGAGAGUCUAUAUCUCUUUUCACUUAUGGACUCACCACUCAAAACCAUAUAACAUAUAUAAGAAGAGUAUCAUUUCAAGUAGUUGUAAUUUUUUAUAUAUAUCAAUAACCAUAACAUUCAAUCAUACUUCGUCAUUAUAUACACAUUUUACCACAAAAAUAUUUAUUACAAAUGGAAAAAGUGAAAUAGUCGAUUAUUUAAAGUAAUAAUCGAUUAUCUUAAGUCCCAGUGUAAAAAAAAAAAAAAAGAAAAAAAAAAUUUUUCUUUUAAAAAAAAAUAAAAUUUUGGUUUGUUUUAUUAAAGGGGAUUAUUACAUUUAAAGAGGAAGAUAUAUGAGUCUGUUAGAUAUCCUGUUUUUAUCUCUAUUAUGGAUUAAUUACUCUUAUCUCCUUUGUUGUAAAAUUAAGAACAUCACAUUUCACAAAACCUUCAACUCUCUGAUUAUCCUCCAACCCCUCCUUUUUAAAGUCUAUUUGUAUUUCUUAAUUAGAGUUGAAUUUCUGUUUUUCUUAUAUUCCAUGAGGUAUUUUGUUCAUUCAUGUUAUAAAAUUUCAAUUUUAUUCCUGUUUUGAAAUGCAUCAAUUGUUUUGUUAAAGGCAAGAUCAUAGUGAGGGGGAGAUCAUAUUAAGGGGGAGCUUUUUAUAUUGAUCUUUUUGCUUAUGAUAAAAAAGGGGGAGAAGUAUAUUUUUAGGGGGAGAAAUAUAAUAUAAGUUGAUACAGGUAUUGCUAACUAUGUUGUUGUUUGUUAGCUUGUAUGUUUUUGCAAGAAAGCCAAAGUUGCUUUUAAAACUUGAACUUUUUAUCAUCAUCAAAAUGGGGGAGAUUGUUACCAAUGAGGAGCAUUGGUAAAUCUUGAAGUAAAUGGUUUUGAUGAUG
rnacentral:lncRNA from 1 species